rnacentral:misc_RNA from 1 species
AGCGAAUCCGUAGAACAGUAAUGGUAGCAAAUCACUAUCUCCUCCUCGUCGUCGUCAUCUGAGUUCUGGUUGAUAUGAAUCUCUCACUAUCUUCUUCUCCAUCUGCAACUUCUGUCGCUGUUGCUUCUUCGUCUUCUUCUCCCUCUUCCUCAGCUACUUCUUGGUUCUCCGGCAUUGUUCGUGGCCGGGCUGAUCGAUCCGGGAACCUCAAAAUGGCAGGCAAUUCGGGCACAGGCGACGGUGACAGCGCCUGUCCAAUCAAGGGCAAG